GACGAACGCUGGCGGCGUGCUUAACGCAUGCAAGUCGAACGGAAAGGCCCUGCUUGCAGGGUACUCGAGUGGCGAACGGGUGAGUAACACGUGGGUGAUCUGCCCUGCACUUCGGGAUAAGCCUGGGAAACUGGGUCUAAUACCGGAUAGGAGCCAUUUUUAGUGUGAUGGUUGGAAAGUUUUUUCGGUGUAGGAUGAGCUCGCGGCCUAUCAGCUUGUUGGUGGGGUAAUGGCCUACCAAGGCGGCGACGGGUAGCCGGCCUGAGAGGGUGGACGGCCACAUUGGGACUGAGAGACGGCCCAGACUCCUACGGGAGGCAGCAGUGGGGAAUAUUGCACAAUGGGCGCAAGCCUGAUGCAGCGACGCCGCGGGGGGGAGGACGGCCUUCGGGUUGUAAACUCCUUUCGCUAGGGACGAAGCUUUUUGUGACGGUACCUAGAUAAGAAGCACCGGCUAACUACGUG
rnacentral:rRNA from 1 species